rnacentral:rRNA from 1 species
CAGUGGGGGAUAACGUAGCGAAAGUUACGCUAAUACCGCAUAUUCUGUGAGCAGGAAAGCAGGGGAUCUUAGGACCUUGCGCUGAUUGAGCGGCCGAUAUCAGAUUAGCUAGUUGGUGAGGUAAAGGCUCACCAAGGCGACGAUCUGUAGCGGGUCUGAGAGGAUGAUCCGCCACACUGGAACUGAGACACGGUCCAGACUCCUACGGGAGGCAGCAGUGGGGAAUUUUGGACAAUGGGGGCAACCCUGAUCCAGCCAUGCCGCGUGAGUGAAGAAGGCCUUCGGGUUGUAAAGCUCUUUCAGCCGGGAAGAAAACGCAUGGGUUAAUACCCUGUGUGGAUGACGGUACCGGAAUAAGAAGCACCGGCUAACUACGUGCCAGCAGCCGCGGUAAUACGUAGGGUGCGAGCGUUAAUCGGAAUUACUGGGCGUAAAGCGUGCGCAGGCGGUUUUGUAAGACAGGCGUGAAAUCCCCGGGCUCAACCUGGGAACUGCGUUUGUGACUGCAAGGCUAGAGUAUGGCAGAGGGGGGUGGAAUUCCACGUGUAGCAGUGAAAUGCGUAGAGAUGUGGAGGAACACCGAUGGCGAAGGCAGCCCCCUGGGCCAAUACUGACGCUCAUGCACGAAAGCGUGGGUAGCAAACAGGAUUAGAUACCCUGGUAGUCCACGCCCUAAACGAUGUCAACUAGGUGUUGGGUGGGUAAAACCAUUUAGUACCGGAGCUAACGCGUGAAGUUGACCGCCUGGGGAGUACGGCCGCAAGGUUAAAACUCAAAGGAAUUGACGGGGACCCGCACAAGCGGUGGAUGAUGUGGAUUAAUUCGAUGCAACGCGAAAAACCUUACCUACCCUUGACAUGUCCAGAAGCCCUUAGAGAUUUGGGUGUGCCCGAAAGGGAGCUGGAACACAGGUGCUGCAUGGCUGUCGUCAGCUCGUGUCGUGAGAUGUUGGGUUAAGUCCCGCAACGAGCGCAACCCUUGUCGUUAAUUGCCAUCAUUUAGUUGGGCACUUUAACGAGACUGCCGGUGACAAACCGGAGGAAGGUGGGGAUGACGUCAAGUCCUCAUGGCCCUUAUGGGUAGGGCUUCACACGUCAUACAAUGGACGGUACAAAGGGUCGCCAACCCGCGAGGGGGAGCCAAUCCCAGAAAGCCGAUCGUAGUCCGGAUCGUAGGCUGCAACUCGCCUGCGUGAAGUCGGAAUCGCUAGUAAUCGUGGAUCAGCAUGUCACGGUGAAUACGUUCCCGGGUCUUGUACACACCGCCCGUCACACCAUGGGAGCGGGUUCCGCCAGAAGUAGGUAGCCUAACCGCAAGGGGGGCGCUUACCACGGCGGGGUUCGUGACUGGGGUGAAGUCGGAACAAGGUA